rnacentral:rRNA from 1 species
UACGUAGGGGGCGAGCGUUGUCCGGAUUUAUUGGGCGUAAAGGGCGCGCAGGCGGUCACGCACGUCCGUUGUGAAAUCGCUCGGCUCAACUGGGCGGGGUCAGCGGAUACGGCGCGACUGGAGCAAGCUAGGGGGCAAUGGAAUUCCCGGUGUAGUGGUGGAAUGCGUAGAUAUCGGGAGGAACACCAGUGGCGAAGGCGGUUGCCUGGAGCUUUGCUGACGCUGAUGCGCGAAAGCGUGGGGAGCGAUCCGG